CGCGGGGUGGAGCAGUUUGGUAGCUCGUCGGGCUCAUAACCCGAAGGUCGUUGGUUCAAAUCCAACCCCCGCCACCA
rnacentral:tRNA from 4 species